rnacentral:lncRNA from 10 species
AUAACAACAGCAGCGGUAACUCGUUCUUAGGGACACUCCACCUGUACCAGACACUGUUCUGAGUGCUUUCUGCAGAUCACCUUGAUUGUGCCUGCAUGUCUGUGCCAAAUGCUGGACACGCAUCUCAAAGUGGGCAUAGCCUCUCCCCACCUUUUGUUCCUGCUGAGUAAACUGAGGCCCGAGGUUCUCGCAGCUAGCAAGUGCUGGCUCCUGGAUUUGCCUUGGGGGCCUGCCUGGCUUUCAUGCCUGGCCUCGGGCUCCACGUGCUGCUGCCCCUCAAAGUCCCCUCCCACAGGGCAGGGAGUCUAGGGUGUUCCUGCCUUCCAAAACCUAAGUUUAUCCCCUGGGGGAGGUAGCAGAGCCCACUUGGUGGGCACAUGAGCCCUGGGGGCAGCCUGCUUGGUCCAAAUCCCAGCUCUGCCACUCACCUGUCGAGAGCCUUGGUGAGUUGCUCAACAUCUCUGUGCCUCAGUUUCCUCAGCUUUAAAAUAGAUGCAAUGCUAGGCCUGUUGCUGUGGUUGCUAUGGACACUGAAUGAGACAACAUGUUGAUGCGCUUAUACGCUUAAACAUACAGGAAACGUUAACCUCUCACUAUGAUACCCAGCACCGCUGAAGGCGGCAGCUAGAGAGGAUGGAGCCUGGACUUUGGAGACGGGUCCUGGCAUUGCACAAAUUGCACAUCCUCUCUGGAUCUCAGUUUCCUCACCUGCAAAACAGGUGUGAGAAUCUCUACCUGGAGUUACUUCGUCAUUCAGCACAUGUGUGGGGGCUUGUGAUGGGCUAGCCCAUGUUGGGUGUCAGGGAUUCCACAACAAACCCAUCCCUGUUCCUAAGAAGCUUGGAGGCAAGCUCAGAGGUACUUAAUCUGGGGUCUGUGGGUCCCAAGGCUGUCCACAGUAGGCUUCAGGGGGCUCUACAAACCCCCCAGGCAUGUAAGAAAUAGGUCUGGGGCUUUCACUGGAUCUUUGAGAGGCCCUGGGCAGAGAGGAGAGCUGUGUCAAAUUCUGGAUCUUGGUGCUUGGGGGAGCCUAGCCUUUACACCUGCCUGUGCUGGAAGGCCGGGCUGCUCACCUUCUCCAACCCAGGGCUGGUAUCAGGCUGCUGGACCAGCCUUGCCCAGUGCCAUGGUUCCCCAUCAGGGCCCUUGGGGAUCCAGUCCUGAGUGCAGGGUAGAAGCGGGCAUGGGCCUCUGUGCAGGUGAGUCCACAUUUCCCUGGAUUCAGCCCACACAGCCUGCCCUCCUCACCACAGCCUCAGAAAGAGCUUGGGGGAAAAACACAUUCCUAAAUAAAUAUGGGCAGAAAAAAUAAUACAGAAAGUUCUUGCCUUGUCCAGGACUUUUGACAGGACUGGUCUGCCUGGCUCUGGGCUCUCUCUGUCUCUCCCAAUUACUGCCUCUGCCUUCCACAUGUUGCCAUGGGAGCGCUAAGUCAACUCACCAUCAGCAGCUGUUGCUGGAAAGUUCCUAGCAUCCAUGUUUCAGCCCCUCUCAGUGCUCUGGGGGCAUGCAGCUAUGAGGACUCAGGUCCUUCCUCUGGAAAAUUUCACAUCUUCCCACAGCGCAGAGGGGAGGGGUGGAAUGGCCAAAGCAUGUGGGCUUUGGGGUCAGACUGCAGGGUUCCAAUCCUGGUUCUACUUCUGUAGCUCAGCCAGGUCAUUUAAACUUGCUAAGCCUCAGUUUCCUCAUCUGUAAAAUGGGAACAGUGAUAGAACUGACCUUGGACAAUGCUGAGGCUGGACAGUGGCAUGAUGCAUGUAAAGUGCCUGGUCCAUUGUCAGCACUCAAUCAACCUGGUUGUUACUAUUACCACCACCAUUGGGCCUGGGAAGGCAAAGGAGGUGUUUUCCUCUACACAGAGGGUGGUAUGUAGGAGAAAGACUGAGACCAGUGCUAUGAGAUGGAGUGAAUCAAGAAGGCUGAGUUCUCACAGGGUG